UUUAUGGAGAGUUUGAUCCUGGCUCAGGACGAACGCUGGCGGCGUGCCUAACACAUGCAAGUCGAACGGAGUUUAGAAAAAAGCUUGCUUUGGUCUAAACUUAGUGGCGGACGGGUGAGUAACGCGUGGAUAACCUGCCCAUAAAGCCGGGAUAACGCCGGGAAACUGGUGCUAAUACCGGAUACGCUCCGAGUAGCGCAUGCUACACGGAGGAAAGGCGAAAGCCGAUUAUGGAUGGGUCCGCGUCCCAUUAGCUAGUUGGGGGUGUAAAAGACCACCAAGGCGACGAUGGGUAGCCGGCCUGAGAGGGCGAACGGCCACACUG
rnacentral:ncRNA from 1 species